UGUCCAGACUCCUACGGGAGGCAGCAGUGGGGAAUAUUGCACAAUGGGGGGAACCCUGAUGCAGCGACGCCGCGUGGGUGAAGGAGCACCUCGGUGCGUAAAGCCCUAUCGGCAGGGAAGAAAAGCGAACAGGUUCGCCUGGACGGUACCUGACUAAGAAGCCCCGGCUCACUACGUGCCAGCAGCCGCGGUAAUACGUAGGGGGCAAGCGUUAUCCGGAUUUACUGGGUGUAAAGGGAGCGUAGACGGCUGUGCAAGCCAGAUGUGAAAGCCCGGGGCUCAACCCCGGGACUGCAUUUGGAACUGCGCGGCUGGAGUGCAGGAGGGGCAGGCGGAAUUCCUGGUGUAGCGGUGAAAUGCGUAGAUAUCAGGAGGAACACCGGUGGCGAAGGCGGCCUGCUGGACUGCGACUGACGUUGAGGCCCGAAAGCGUGGGGAGCAAACAGGAUUAGAUACCCCGGUACU
rnacentral:rRNA from 1 species